rnacentral:misc_RNA from 1 species
GAUGAAGAACGUAGUGAAAUGCGAUAAGUAAUGUGAAUUGCAGAAUUCAGUGAAUCAUCGAAUCUUUGAACGCACAUUGCGCCACCUGGUAUUCCGGGGGGCAUGCCUGUCCGAGCGUCAUUACAACCCUCAAGCUCAGCUUGGUGUUGGGCCCCGCCGCCCCGGCGGGCCCUAAAGUCAGUGGCGGUGCCGUCCGGCUCCGAGCGUAGUAAUUCUUCUCGCUCUGGAGGUCCGGUCGUGUGCUCGCCAGCAACCCCCAAUUUUUUUCAGGUUGACCUCGGAUCAGGUAGGGAUACCCGCUGAACUUAAGCAUAUCAAUAAGCGGAGGA